AUUGAACGCUGGCGGCAGGCCUAACACAUGCAAGUCGAGCGGAUGAAGGGAGCUUGCUCCUGGAUUCAGCGGCGGACGGGUGAGUAAUGCCUAGGAAUCUGCCUGGUAGUGGGGGAUAACGUCGUGAAACGGGCGCUAAUACCGCAUACGUCCUGAGGGAGAAAGUGGGGGAUCUUCGGACCUCACGCUAUCAGAUGAGCCUAGGUCGGAGUAGCUAGUUGGUGGGGUAAAGGCCUACCAAGGCGACGAUCCGUAACUGGUCUGAGAGGAUGAUCAGUCACACUGGAACUGAGACACGGUCCAGACUCCUACGGGAGGCAGCAGUGGGGAAUAUUGGACAAUGGGCGAAAGCCUGAUCCAGCCAUGCCGCGUGUGUGAAGAAGGUCUUCGGAUUGUAAAGCACUUUAGGUUGGGAGGAAGGGCAGUAAGUUAAUACCUUGCUGUUUUGACGUUACCCACAGAAUAAGCACCGGCUAACUUCGUG
rnacentral:rRNA from 1 species